GGUAAAUCCUGUAACUCCGGCAGAUCCUGUCUCGGUUGCAGGUCGGUCCGUGGCGAACGCCCGGGUCGCAUAACGCUCGUGGCGAACUCCGUCUUUACGGCUGCCAACUCUUGUUUAAAGUAUUACUAUCUUAAUAUUUUUUUUUUUGUCAAGACGACGCGAGACGUUACAAUAUUUGUCGUAAAAUAAUUGGUAUGCAAUUUUGCUUUGUUCUUAUUAGGUUCACUGUUAUUAAUGGUGAUACAUUGUACCAGUCCCCGUCUUCUAAUCGUCAUUCUACCCGACCGGUAAUCAUGUUGUCCACACUGUUUAUUUUAUUAUUGUCACUUUUUGUAUGUACCGCGUAUACCUACGGUAGACACGAAAUAAUAUUGGACGGACGCUUUAUCGUUCGCCAUUUUUCGGUUUCUAUCGCCUAACGGCCAUAUCGGUUGUCGACAUUUCUUUCUUUGUUAAUACUUGUGUCGUCAUUUUCGUCUUACGUAUCCAGUGUGUGGCCGAGUCAUUGAGGAAUGUGCCGAGUAGAUUAAUUUUUUUGGUCUUCUGUGUGUCUUAUUAUCCACGUGUUGAAUCAAGCCGCUUUUUUUCUGUUUCCAUCAAAUAUUUUGAUUGGAACUCUCUGUUCUUUUGGUAAGUAUUUGACAUUGUUAUUAUAUUAUUAAUAUAAUUGACUUGUGGUUAGUACAGCGGUCAUCGUACGUCAAUCGAUUAUUAUAAUAGGUACUCUUAUAGCCUUCUAACGACAUAUGCAUUUAAUUAAUAUACUAUAUUAUUUUUAUUUAUUUAUUUAUAUUUAAUUGUAUAGAUUUUUAUUCUUAUAAAACUCUAAUUUAGAUUGCUAUACGGAAAAAUAUAAAGG